GGGAAACUGUGAGAUUCAGCCUUGUGCUAUCACUGAGCCUGAUUCUUUAUCAUCAACUAGCAAGGAUUUUAAUUGCUGGCCACAUUGCAUGUAUUUUGAGCUCAUGCAGAUUCUCGUCACAGUGAUUUUAGCUGUGUUGCAUAGGGUUGCAACUUUGAAGUUUUUCAACUAUUUUAGCUCCUGAAAAACAUGUUAUAAUCAUUAACAUUUCUUUUGUUUCAGAGACACAAGACCAUCACACAACUAAAUGUAUUCAAAAGUUCCUGUAGCUUGCCAGUUUUUACAACAGCACCAGAAUGACAGAAGAUCUGUUUUGGGUUCUGAGUUGGAUAGUUACUACCUCUUCACCUGACUUGUCUACGCUGUCAACUUGCAUAACCAGUGAAAAAUAAUGAAAUAAUGGCGAUCAACCCUCUUCUGCUCUUGGCAGCUCAGCUUUUCCAAAGCCUUAAAUCUCCAUCUCAACUGCUAUUCCUUCUUAAACAUUUCUGGAAGAAUUUGUCACCUCAAUUUACCAACUCACUAAUUUUCACUUUGCCAGUAGCUCAUGAGAAUUUUAAUUAAAAAAUGAGCUUUGGAUAGCAGAUGUAAGGUAAGCUGACAUAAUGUAAUUUGUAUUGUUA
rnacentral:lncRNA from 1 species